rnacentral:lncRNA from 1 species
AAACAAUUACGUUUCUUCUCCAUCCCCCAAAACCAACCCCUGAGAAUGGAUUGGUAACCAAGGAUAUUCCGGGAACAUCAGAUGACAUGAGGAAUAAAGGGUUUGUGGGACUAGGAACAAAAGUAGUAGGUUCAGGAGUUGAAUCUUCAUCAUUUCCCACCAUCUUGACCACUGAUGAUGUUUAAGACUCAAACAAACCAACAAAUCUCAAAUACAAACUCAACUAGCCAACAAAUCGCAACUACAAAUUCAACAAAUCAAGAAAUCCUGACUACAAUAAGCAACUAUCACAGUCUUCAACCAAAAAUCAACA